AUUGAACGCUGGCGGCAGGCCUAACACAUGCAAGUCGAACGGUAACAGAAAGCAGCUUGCUGCUUUGCUGACGAGUGGCGGACGGGUGAGUAAUGUCUGGGAAACUGCCUGAUGGAGGGGGAUAACUACUGGAAACGGUAGCUAAUACCGCAUAACGUCGCAAGACCAAAGAGGGGGACCUUCGAGCCUCUUGCCAUCGGAUGUGCCCAGAUGGGAUUAGCUUGUUGGUGGGGUAACGGCUCACCAAGGCGACGAUCCCUAGCUGGUCUGAGAGGAUGACCAGCCACACUGGAACUGAGACACGGUCCAGACUCCUACGGGAGGCAGCAGUGGGGAAUAUUGCACAAUGGGCGCAAGCCUGAUGCAGCCAUGCCGCGUGUAUGAAGAAGGCCUUCGGGUUGUAAAGUACUUUCAGCGGGGAGGAAGGGAGUAAAGUUAAUACCUUUGCUCAUUGACGUUACCCGCAGAAGAAGCACCAGCUAACUCCGU
rnacentral:rRNA from 1 species